rnacentral:tRNA from 1 species
GGCAGCGUGGCCGAGUGGUCGAAGGCGUUAGUUUUAGGCACUAAUCCGAAAGGGCGUGGGUUCGAAUCCCACCGCUGUCA